rnacentral:lncRNA from 1 species
AUUUGUAUGCUUGGGAGAGAAGGAGGAGGGAAGGAGGGAAUUGGGUGAAUUAGUCUGUAAACCUAUUAUCUGAUCCACACUCCGGAGCAGAUGGUGGCGAUAAUGCACUAAUUACGCUGGAUGCCAACCGCCGUUAAACAUUAAAAAGAAGAAGAAGAAGAAGAAGAAGGCAGGGAUCUUAAAAAUUACGUGGCUACGAACAGCUGUCAUACAUUUACUGUUCACUUUUUUUUUGCCCACACACUCAGUUUAAACCAGUUAAAAUAGUGUUUGUACAUGAAAAUAGUGUUUAGGUUUGUCAGUAUAGAGAAUAAUAUAGAAAAUGGCACAUUUUACGCUGUAUCUGUGUAUGGUAAUUACGCAGUGGUCCCUAAAUCGCAUGUUUGCUUCCACAAGUAAUUUAAAGAGACAACGCUGUUUGAUGCAGAAUGGGUGGAUUUAAAGAUGCAUACCAAGAUGUUCAGCCAGUAACCCUUCGACUUGCAGAAGGAAAUGUCAUUUCCAGUCUCUACUGCAGCUCAGCCGAGGGCAUUGAAGCUCACGUGUCCACUUUAGUGGAAGCUUUCUUAGUUGAAGUGUACCGAUGUAGAGUCUGUCAGUUUACCAGCAGCCAAAAUGCCAAGAUUAGCCAUCAUGUCUUGGAAAGACAUGAUCCAGUGUCUCCAUGUCCCCAUCUGCCAUGUCUGGAGAAAGAGGAUGAAGAGAGUUUGGCUGUAGGAAUGAGGGUUCAUGAUGAAGAGGAGGUCGACCACAACAGCUCUCCGUAUGACCUAGAGACUGAUCUCCAUUCUUGCUCAAAAAGCAGUGAUGAUCAGAUGGACAUGGAGCGCAUGUCUUUCCUCCUCCCGAUGUAUGGCAUGUUUCAAAACAUCAGCCCACGGUCAUGUGACAUUGGCUUGGGCUCCAACUCUGAUGGGAACUUGCAUGUGGCACAAACUUGUGAGGUAAGCACGCUCUUUGAGGAGGAUAGGCAUGAUGAGGAUAGCGAGGAGGAACCUGUGUUUCAGCUGGAGGAUGCUAACACAGGUCUGGCCGUUCCUUUGAACAGUGGAAUGGACACAGAAAUCCAGGAUGAAGAGAUGGCCCAGUCGGCUCAUCUCAUGACUCUUGGGUUGUGCAGAAUUUCAAGCACUAAGUGUCAACCUCAGUCUGCGACCUUGGCAAAAAGCCUGUCCCAUCCAGAAGGUGAACAGGAUGCUGGACAUGCCAACAUGGAUGCUGAAAUGCAGAAGCCAUCUGAGGAGGAUGGCGGAUUGGCCUGCAUCCUCUGUCAGAUAGUUGUAUCUAGUCGUAGUAUGAUAGAGGUGCACCUGAAAUGCCAUAGUGGAGACCAAGGCUUUAGGUGCCCUCGCUGUGGUUGGGAAUCAGAAGACUGGGUUGAUAUGGAGCAGCACUGGAGAGGACAUGGUAAAAUAAAAGGCUCAAAGAGGCAUAAAUGUAGCGUUUGCCCCAGGACAUUUAGGAGAGUUGACUCUCGUGACGCACAUGAAGAAAGGCAUAAUCAGCGGCAUCACUGUCGGUCUGUGUCUGGGGGUCUGGUGCAGUGUUCUCUGUGCCUGGAAUGGUGUCUCUCAGGGAAGGAGUGGGUGAUACACCAACAAUGUCAUUUUCAAGGAGGCUUUAAAUGUUUACAUUGUGAUUUCAAAGAGAAGUCAUGGAAUAAGACCCUGAAGCAUAUUCACACUCAACACAAACAGCUUGACACAAGUCAAAAGAAACAGGUUGCUCACAGUAGAGAAAACCAGCAACUUAACACAUCCACCAGGCACCCAGAAUGCCUGAGAAGGAUGAAGCCUGAGUCGUGGUCCCAGGUUAGGAAGAACAGGGUGAAAAACAGGGUUGUGGCAAGGGAAAAAGGCAAUGAAAGAGGAAAGGACAGAGUGGGACACCUGAAGAGUGACACAACUGUUGGACUCACUGUUUCUAGACAGAAAGAGUUCUGCUGCAACCUCUGUGACAAGAAGUUUUCUACAAAGAUGACAAUGCGGCGUCACAUGGGCAUUCAUCAAGGAGAUAAGCCAUUUAAAUGUCCACACUGCCAUUACUGCGCUCGUCUCAAAGCCUCGCUCAUACAGCACCUCCGCGUACACAGGUGAGAAGCCAUACAAGUGUUCGCAGUGCUCCUAUGCUUCUAUUGACAGAAGCUCUCUGCGCCGACACUUAAGGACACACACACAAGAAAAGCCUUACCGCUGCCAGUACUGUCCUUACAGCAGGUACAUACAUUCAUCUGUCAUAAAGUUGACAGGCUACACUUGUUUCAUACUACAUCUGUAACUAAGAAUGAGGCUCUGCAUUUCACUUCAGUAUCCAGAAGAAGAGCUUAGACCUUCAUUCAUGGCGUCAUCACACUGGAGAGUCGUUCCCUUGUCACCUGUGCCAGUAUUCCACACCAGACCGCCAGCUGCUGGUGCGACACAAGAGGAAACAUCACAGUGCUGAACAAACCGCAGCACUGGAGCAGAGGAACUGUUCUGGUUCCCAAACCGCACCUUCUCAAAGAGCACAAACUUCCAAAUGAUAUUUAUGAUUUCUAAUAAAACUUUUAAGUUAAAUUUUACUGUGACAAAGCAAAGUAUUGUUUUGUUAAUUAUGCAAACUUCUUGUAAUGAUUCAGUAAAUUC